GUAGGUGGGCAAGCGUUGUCCGGAAUAUUGGGCGUAAAGCGCGCGCAGGGCGGUCCUUUAAGUCUGAUGUGAAAGCCCACGGCUCAACCGUGGAGGGUCAUUGGAAACUGGGGGGACUUGAGUACAGAAGAGGAAAGCGGAAUUCCAAGUGUAGCGGUGAAAUGCGUAGGGAUUUGGAGGAACACCAGUGGCGAAGGCGGCUUUCUGGUCUGUAACUGACGCUGAGGCGCGAAAGCGUGGGGAGCAAACAGGAUUAGAUACCCUGGUAGUCCACGCCGUAAACGAUGAGUGCUAAGUGUUAGGGGGUUUCCGCCCCUUAGUGCUGCAGCUAACGCAUUAAGCACUCCGCCUGGGGAGUACGGCCGCAAAGGCUG
rnacentral:rRNA from 1 species